AAAGGGAGAGAGCACAAAGGCCUAAAAGCCACAGACGCUUGGGGCUCUCAUGCGCGGCUGCCCUUGAACUCUCAGUAGAACUAAGAGGACACAGAGGGCCGCAUCCUGCUAGCCAGAUGAGGGGUCCUGGGCUGAGAGAAGACAAAAGCUGGUGGAGGUAAGUGCCUUCUUCCAGGGCUGCUAGCCUACUGUGGGAGUGAGGCUGUUCUUCAUGGCCACUCGGGGUAGUGAGAGUGAGCUGCUGACUCGGGUCUUUAAAAGCCUCCACUCAGCUCCUGAACAACAUUGGGUAUAAGAUGUUCAAUAUUCGAACUUGUCUGCCAUGAUUAUUCACUCUGUUCAGAAAGCCUGAGCAAAACUGGACACUUUCUGGAAGCCUCUUUAUACUCCCUAGACAGAGAGGGGAAGGGUAGAGAGACAUAGAAAACUCAGAGGCAGGCUUGUAUUUCUAUCCUUGGAGUGGCCAUGGUAAGCCAUUUCCCAUUUUAAAAUGACCUGGUUAUCAAUAAUACUAGGCCUAACUGUUUAUUUAAAAUGGAGGCUUGUUUGAUUGGGACUCCUUCUCUUUGCGUAGGCUUCACCAUGCCUUAUUCUUAUACUUCAAAGAUGCCUGCAUCCCAAUUGCUCCUCCUGUGUGUGUGUGUGUGUGUGUGUGUGUGUGUGUGUGUGUGUGUCCAACUUGCACUGUCCCCUCAGUGAUGCUGGCCACCUGCACAGAGAUGAAACUGGUCCCUAGGGUUCCCAGGCCUUGGCAGCUCUUGAUUAAGAGUCCAUCAAGCUUUUAAUGCUGAGAACCUGGCUGAGGAUUCUCUCUCUACCUCUGGUUGGUGAUUAAAUGCUGAUUUGAUUGAUGUACAGAUAAGGGAACUUUCCAGAUUUCCCCCUUCUAAAUGGGUUUCCUUGAAAAGAAAAGCAACUUUGUUCCCUGGUGGUAACAAGAACAUUCUAUUUUAAGAGUUCCGUGUGCUUUCAAAGAUGACAAGACUUGGGAAAUACGAACUGACUUUCUUUGUCUAGACUGUACUCGCCUAAAACAGUCAAACGGAUGCAUUUAACACAAGGACUUCACAUGACAGUAACUGUGGGUUUGUGAUUAAAAAAAAAAAAAGCAUCUCUACUUUUUGCUUUUUAAGAAAUCCUUUUGUGUUAUGGAUGGGUUAUUUAUUUAUUUAAUUAAUUUUUUUUGGCAGCAAAAUGACUCCACGUAGUUCCCAAAGCACUCCUUCUUGGUCCUCUGAAGCUGUCUGCAGGGUGUUCUUCACUCCUUUGAACAAGCUGAGAAUACAGAGUCAUGAUCUCCUGGUACCUGUAAAUCCACUGUAUCUUCCUGGGCGCCGUGGCGCACGCUGAGGCAUCUGAGGCCGGUUAGGGUUUGCCAAGGCCUCCCCCUUAGAGACCACUCAUUCCCACUUACAAACAGAGAGGCCUGUCAUUAACAAGGAGCAAACCGAGUUUGACUUGUUUUCAUGCCCAUGGGGGGCGGGUCAAUGGGAAAACUCCAUUUGGAAUUGUCCACAGUCCCUAGAAAUGUCUAGAAAUCCCAUCCUCUUGGGGAAGGCGGGGAAGGACACAGACAUUUAGUGUUAAUAGGCAGACACUAAGGAACCCUACCUCCUCAGCCUCCCUUAGGGUGGUCUCAGGAAAUAAGGAAAUAUUUCGGUCUGCUAAAUAGCAGGAGGUUUGUGGGCCUGGGUGCAGGCAUGAUCCCCAUCCUGGAAGGCCUUUCUGAGCUGUGGAAACCCUGCUGGCCUUUGAGGGAGGGGGUGUUCAUAGAAAGUACCAUUUGUUACCAUUUCCCAACCAACUAAUGCACUUCCUAUUUGGUAUGAGUACUAGUGAAGUUCCCAGUCUUCAGUCUGAAAAUUCUAAAGCCCUUUAAAGUCUGAAGAACGAAAACAGACCGUGUGAGUCACCCCCGAGAGUGAGCUACUUUGGCUUUCCUUCUUAGGGAUACAUUAAUUAGAAAACAACAUUUGGAAGAACAGGAGAAUAUGCUGGCUCUCAUAGUGCCUGCAGAGGGGUCGACAGAAUGUGAUCACUUGGUCAAGGAGAGCAUAGAAGAAGAAAAAAAAACAAACGAACAAACGUUUCAGCAGUGUCUAAAAAUUGUUCACAGGGCCCUAAUAAAUAAGAAUUUAUUUCUUGGUGUAAUAUCAUAAAGUUGUUAUGCUACAUAAAAAGAUAUUUCAGAAAUAAUUUGCUAGAUAAAAAAAAAAAAAAAGUUGACCUGAAGUCUCUCUCUGUCAGCAAAACAGUUUCACAGUGGCAAAUACAUGUGUUCGAGUCAGAUUGGUCUUAGCUUCCAAAUUUAAGGAAAAUGUUGGCAAGAAGGGUUUAUUAAAUUAGGUCACCCGGAAGGGGAAAGGGGGACUUUGAAGUUUUUAAAUUCUCAUUAUUUUUUCUCAUUUCAAAAGCACUGUGGAAAAAAAUUGUGAAAAUUAAGAAAUUCAGAGACACAAAGGUAGAAAUCAAACAGCAAUUCUCUUUCUACCUGGUGGAGAGAGAGCUAUUGCACCACGAGUGCUGUACAAUUCUCACAGAAAAGGGUCCGAGUCCUAUGCACUGUUUUGAAAACCACUCCUUUGUUCGAAAUGAAAUCUUAAUUUGUUUCCAAGUUAACAACAACUAGCUUUCUGCAAUGUCGGCGACUGCAAAGCGAGGACCGUGGACCAGGUGAGCAGAUGGGCAUUUUCCUAAUGCUGGGCAUUUAAAGCCACGUGCAAUUCUUUAUUUUAAAUAAUGUUUCUGUGAAUUAGCUUGUCUUUACUUAAUUAGUUACUUAGUGAGUUAUUUAGUUAUUUUACUUUUCCUUUGAGAUGUAUGCCAGAUUCAUGACCAGCCACAGAGGGGAGAGGUUAGAGGAAGUUUGAGUGUGAUGUAUUGGUUCCCUUCUCUUCCUUCUCCUUUCUGUCUUUUGCAGAUCAAGCACUGAGAGGUCCUCAGCCCCUACAGCACUAAUGAAUGCCUCACAUCUCCUGGUUGACCUUACAGCAUGUGGGAAGGGAAUUCUAAAGCCCCACUGAGAUGGUCAGGGAAUCCCUGGGGGUAAAAAAGAGGUGGGAUUUCUGUUCUAGGUCCUUCAGGCAAAGAGGAAUGAGCAUAGCCUGCCUCUUGGAAGGAGCGGUGGGGAAAGACAAGCCAUCUCUCAAACAUACGCACGUAAGCACGCACGCACGCAUGCAUUCCCCCAUCACUGCAAGGUCAGCGCAAAGGGUGGGACUGGGAGUCAACAGGCGCUUCCUGGUUUCAUUGAUGAAUGAUUGUCUAAUACUCAGCUGAGUGACACUCUUUUCCUGCAGUCUGCCAGGGCCACAGUUUUUAUUUUAUUAUUCUUCAUUCUUAGUAGACAAUGAUCCUAUCAGCACCAUAGAAAAGGAAAGGGGAGAGGAGGAGUCAAGGUAGGAGGGAUGGGAGGUCACAGAGUGCUGUUCCUGCAGCGUCUGUCUUGAAGGGGUGAUUUCACGGUCUGUACGGGAAUGCAGGAGAGAAAUGCUGGAGGAUUCGUUUACACUUGUUAGAGACAGCCAGUUUUACAGCUAAAGCAAAUCUUUAGCCAAAUGUUAACAACUCAGCUAUUCUGGGGAUGGGGGUAAGGCAGGAAACUGGCACCCAAUCUUCCCUUUUGCCAGCAUUUGGGGAAAAUAAAGGAUUAGGUAAAACUGUUCUCGUUCCUCUCAUUCUCCACUGUGAGCAGAGGUUCGAAGAACCGUUGAAACUGGGAACAAGUAAACCCAGAAGGUGUUUGUUCACACUGCCGUGUUUCCACUACAGGUGAACCUUCCUGCUAGAAAAGACACUGUUUUCAUCUCAUUCUUUCUUAGUUGGAGCCCUCAUCUGCUGCCUGCCGUUCUACUAAAGAAUGGCUGUGGUGGAUAUGAUUUGAAGUUUGAGCAUGGUAGGGUGUCUCUGUGUCCAAAGGUUCCACGGAGAGGAGGUUACAGCCUAGCGCACAUAAAUACUAAUCACAAGCUGGGAGUGGGGGGUGUAUGUACCCAAGAGGCAGGCGUAGGUGGAUCUCUGUGAGUUUGAGGCCAGUUGGGUCAAUAUAGUGAGUUCAAGGCCAGCCAGGGCUACGCGCUAAGAGACCACUGUCUCAGAGAAAAGAAAAAAGUAGAAAAAUCAUAAUUUUCUUGAGCCAAAGAAGUGAUCACAUUUGUUGGCGAUGGAUUGGAAACCAUGACGAGAUGAGAGAUGUUGGGAUCUAUUUAUUACCCAGUGGAAUUAUUUCUGAGUAUGAUGUGGUUUGUGCCAAGUGUAUGUCUCCUCCCAGAAUUCAAGCCUUUUAGGAAACAGAUGUAAGCAACUUUCCAUUCAUGUCCGUAAGAGUUUGUUCCUCAAGGUAAAAGGCCUUUGUGAACCCUCCUUGUUAUGCAAGAUCCGGGGCCUCUUUCCUAGCUCCUAUUUCAGCAUUUGGAGCCACGGAGGAGUCUGUGACAAAGAAGGAGGGUGAAGGGGAGGUUAGCACCCUUGUGCCUACAGACUCUCCUUAGCAGAGCUCUGGAGUGUGACAAUGGUGUUUGUGUCCAAAACAUCAAACGCCAUCAUCACACUAAACAGCUACUGCUAGGCUAUCCGUCUACUCCGUGCGCGACUUGACGUCUGCCCUCUCAGAGCAAGAAGUUUUGUCUUAUGUACUCUCCGUCAUAGGUAAUUUAUGAAUAAAACCUGGUCCUCUCGUGCUCAGAACUGUACAUCUGCCUACCCCUCAUAUGCUGUUGUGAAAUGAAUGGUGCUAUAGAGGAAAAGACCAGGAAACCCAGCCUUUCCUGUGGGACCCUCCCAGCAUUGAUGACUUCUGACACCCGAUUUUUUUCCCCAGCAAUAGGCCCACGGUCAAUUUUGCUCUGGACGCUAGCUAGGCAAUUCUUUAUUUCUAUUCGCUGUUGACACUGCUUAUGUGCAGGUAGCCCUGGAUCCAGCAGAUGGAUGGCACAGUCUCAAGACCCCGCUUCAGACGGCUCUCGAAUGUCCUAAGUUGCUUGCCGUGUGCUUCUGACUCACCAGGUAUACGGAGGUUUCCACAACUGCGUACUCGGGUCCAAUUCGCUGUUUUGAGAAAACCUGUUGGUCAGCUUAUUCCAAAGGAUAAUUUAAAGGCAGAGAGGGGAUAUGUGCUCCAAGAAGUGCAUGUGUUUGGCUACCUAGAAGCUCUACGAAACUGUCCUUCAUAGAUUUUUACAGGUCUUCCUUUGCAUAGGCUUGAUUCGGUAGACAGGAAGAAUGUGUUGGGACCCCACAAGCCUCAUCUCCAGCGAGGAGAUGAUGUACAAAGUGAAUAAUGAACCUUGAGUCAGCACCAUCUUUGCAGAUACUGGGUCAAAAAUGUCCAGAGUCUGUCCUUGUGGUUUAAUGUUCUUAUAUAUUUAAGCAUAGCAAAACUUUGGGGGAAAGGAAACCAUAGGACAGUUAAUCACCACAAAGCUUUACGAAGAGCUACAUAGAAUCCCCCUAGCAAAGUAACAAAGCACCUGUGACCUUUACAAUGCGUUCUAUUGGCUGAUAAAAAGAGCUCAGAUCUCCAGCCUAAAGAGGAAGGCUUGGCAAUAAGUGUAAGAAUAGACUCUGGGUGGAGGACACAAAGGUCUAGGCACUGAGGGGCAAAGCUCAGCAUCUGGGCCUAAACAAUGCUCAGGAUAUUGGGGGACUCCUAGUAGAAUCGCAAAGGAUCACUAGGCUGUUUGACCAUUUUCAGUCUGGCCUUCCAGGUGACCAGACAUUUUUCAUUUCCUUCUGAAUGAAAUGAAUGUUCUGUUUUUUUCCUGGGGGAGGCCUGCAGGAUUGACCCCGUUUCUCCAAUGCUUCCUCUAAGCUGUGCUUCUUACAGUAAUGUAGUGGGGCGAAAGGGACAGGCAAGGUCUAAUGGUUAGGCAGCAUGUAAACAAUGUUGUCUACUCAGAUGUUUCUUUGUGGUCUUAAGGGAGGGACCCCCUGAAAUGAGAAGAAAUGGUUAUCAGACAAGGUAGGUUGGAAUUAUGAGCCAGGAACCAUGGAUAAAAAUAUAUGUGCAUCUACAUAUAUACAUACACACAUACACACAAAAUUAAAUCAUAAUGGUGGUAAAUUUCCCUAUCUUCCCUAAGUCAUUAAAAUAAAAAAUAAAAUAGUCUCCCAGAGUACUCAGCAACAAGGCUAGUCACCAUUCCAUUCAUUCCAUUGAGUUGAUGUUAGGAAAAUGUAGGCACAAAAAAAAAAAAAAAAAAAAAAAAAGCUAAAACUAGGUGUCUUUGUUAGAUUUCUGUUGCUGUGAUAAACACCGUGACCAAAAGCAACAUAGGGAGGAAAGGAUCUAUUUGGUUUAUGUGUGCUGACUGCAGACCAUUGUCGAGGGAAACGGUGUAGGAACUCAAGCAGGGCAGGCCUCUGAAGCCAGAACUGGGACAACGUCCAUGGAACAGUGCUGCUCCUGGCUUGCCCCUCCUGGCUUGCUCCAGCUUGCUUUCUGAUACACUCCAGGACCACCUGCCCAGGGCUGAUGCCCUACUCAGUGCUCUCUGGGCCCUUCACAUCAAUCAUCAAUUAAGAAAACGACCCACAGGCUUGCCUGCAGGCCACUCUGAUCAAGGUGUUUUUCUCAGUUGAGGUUCUUUCUUCUCAGAUGACUAUAGCUUGUGUCGAGUUUACAACGAAACAAACAUAUGGGGUUAAGUCUACUCUCUGAAAACCACAGACUAAUGGGCAAUAAAUGAAGACAUGGAGGUCCUCUUCUUUCUAUUAUUAAAAAAGAAACCUGUAUGUGACUUAAUUGACCUUUCAGACAUUCUAGGACACGUCUGCUCUGUACUGUUUUAACCAAUUAUCAGGUUGAUUACUGGAUUUGGAUGCUAGAUCUGUCUUACGUUUCACAAAUUAGCACCAGAAACCCACAUGUGAACUGUGUGUAAGUUGCCAUAGCAAAUCAGUUAUUUGAAGCUUUUCAGGUUCUGGGAUAGUGGUACGGAUGGGUGGUCUGGUUUCAAAUAUAUUCUCUGAGAGGCAUCUUUAGUAAAAACAAAAUCUGUGACUUGCCUGAAUGAACUAGUAUAUGCUUAGUCAAGUUGACAGGGUCAGAUCAACCGUCAGAAACAAAUGCAUUCAUCCGUCAGCCAGCACUUAUCAAAUACAUACAGAGUAGCUUCCCUGUGCCCUGCACAGCCCUAGGCCUUGGGGGGUACUUUUUUUUUUGGUUCUUUUUUUUCGGAGCUGGGGACCGAACCCAGGGCCUUGCGCUGCCUAGGUAAGCGCUCUACCACUGAGCUAAAUCCCCAGCCCCUGGGGGGGGGGGUACUUUUAAAUAAAAAAAUGUCUGACGAUAUUUCUAGGAAUGAGCAAUCCCUGUGUGCAGUCUAUUAGUGUACAGUCCUCAUGGCCCCAGUCACACUUAAUAAGGAGCCUAGUGAGAAAACUGCCAAUGGAUUCUAAGUUCCUCGUUAGAGAGCACCCCGGAAGUACAUCCCACACAUCCAGGAUGCACUGCAAAGGCUUUAAGACCAUGAGUAGCUUUGUAUAAAGGAAAAAAAAAAAAAACAACUCACGAAGUAGAUUUCUACCUUCUCAAUGUGUUUCCCCCAACAGUUUCUUUUUUUCCUGGCAAGUCAACUGUCAAGAGGAGAUCAAACACCCCUCCCCCAAAAGAAUGAAUAUCUUGGCAAUCUUUCUUGUGUGUCUUUUUAUGGAGAUAGCAUGACCCGAGCAAGUAGUGACCUUUGCCAUCAUAGGAAUCACUCCCCAGGCACAUGGUUUUAUUGGACCUUUGCAACACAGGGCAAAGGUGGCCCAGGUUUGGUCCCCUCCCAUAGAUGGCAGGCUGAGAAUGGUGCUUCUGGUGUCAUCUGCCCAUUCAACCACAAUACAUUAUGGAUCUUAUAAAUCGAGAGUCCUGCUCUUUAGCCGUCCUCAAUAUGGUUCCUCCACAAAAGCCUGGGUUUCGUGGCUGAGUCCUUGUUGAAACUGAGUUAAUUAGCAUCCUCAGCUCUCCUCGGGUCUGUCUCUGGUAAACACUGAAGGGAAAGCCCGACAGAGGAUGGGUGUGCAACAAUCCCCAUGAAGGUUCACAGUACAGAGGAAGUCAAAUAUUCCAGAACACUCUUGUUGAAGAAAACGAAAGAAAAGGAACAUUUAUGAGGUAGUUAAAGUGCCCAGACCUGGAGCAGCCAUCUUAGAGACCUCCUCACUGAAGUAAGAUGCAGAGUCUUCUGGCUCCAAAUUAUUCUCAGAUUUGAGGGCGAUGUCUGUUCUGUUCCAUCAUGCUGAGGCCCUAAUUAGCUGGAAUUAACCCAGGAACAUAAAGAAGGGCUUUCUGUGUUCUCUUCUACUACUGUGGCUCAUUAAAUGGCGUAUUAUGAUUACUGCCUACAUCAUUCCUCAUUCAAAAUAAAAGACCUGUUCUUUCCGUAGGUUUCCAAGGGGCACAUACAGAAGGCAGAAACAUUCAUGUGUCUACUUUGUGUCUCUGUGUGUGUGCCCAUGUGUGUGCAUGUGUGCAUGUUCCCUGGUUGCUUUCCACCUUGUUUUUAUGAUACAGGGUCUCUCACUGAACCUCAAACCUAGAAUUUAGCUAGCCUGGAUGGCCAGCAAGUUCCAUAAUCCAACAUGGGAUUGUACUGUGUUCACUGUUCUAAAUGUGUGUCCUGGGGGGUCAAACUCAGGUCCUCAUGCUUGUGAAGCAAGUUCUAGACUGACUGAGCCAUCUCCCCAGCCCUGACACCUCCCACUUUAAAGACACUGUUUAUACAGUCCUGCUGCCUCAGAUCUCUGGUGAUAGCAUACUUCCCCAGGAUCCACUUUCACCUCCUCCCCUAUCCCAAGAAAGCUAUGACCAGCAGUUUCCAGGCAACCAUUCCUAGGGAUGCAUACUGGCUGACUCCAAGUGCUGUUUGCAAGAUGAAAGGGUCCACUUAGACAUGUGUUACUUAAAAUCACUCUCAACCUGGGGAGACAACGGAGGAUUCAAACAGCCACACCAACCAGCUUUCUUCUCAGCAAACAGGCUACUUGAAUCUUUGCGGGUCGCACUAGCGAGGUCUUUCUUUAGUCCGUCUUUCCUUCUUUGCACUGUGUGUUCAGUAGACAUGUCAAUCACCACUCAGCGUCUGUCCUGCUUUCAUCUGGCUCCAAGGGAGCCACCAUUCGACAGUGGCUCCUGCAGACGCUCCUCUGGACCUUUUAAAAACAUGUAAAACUUACAUUUGCAUCCUUCUCAGAGGAGAUAAAGGAAGGCUAGAAUUAGAAACCAGUUCACUCUUUGUUCUGAUGGGGAACUUGAAACCGAGGAUUCUAGCAUUUAUAGCAGCUUUAAAAACAUGCCCGCUCCUUAGCUUCAUCAGCAUGGUUUCUGUAGUUACUAUGCAGUAGGUAUUGUACUGGACUCUGGGGCUAUAAAGAACAAGACUGAGUCCUUUCUCCAGCCUUUCCCAUUUAGUAAUUGGAUGGACGCCUAAACACAUCCAUUCCUCACUGUGGUUGGUGCCAACCCAGAGGCACAGACAGGGAGCCAAGGGCUGUGAAUUAGAUCCUUUAUUUCUCCCCAGAGAAAGAGAUCUCAAGUCUUUGAUGUCAUGAUCUGACUUUGUUGGUGUUGGGAGAGCUUCCUCCUUGUUCACUUUAAAGAUUCAGAAGCUAACAGGCCAUUGUUCGGGGCUCUGAUGUCACAUCAUCUGACCCUGCUGCUUUUACUCUGCGAUUUGCCAGCUUAAUGAACUGCUGAGGAUCUGCUCAGGGGUUGGAAGACGAGGCUGUAUGUUUUUCAGUGACACGAGAAGAAUUUUAAUUUCCCAGAAGAGCUUGGCAGGAUGUGAGCUGCCUGGGUUGACGAGGCACUUACGGAAUCAGGUCACUAGGUUUCUCUCCUUCCUGACUGCCUCUUUCCAGCCACCAAAAGCCUACAGCUAAGUCCCUAGAUGAACACCUCACUACCUGCCCUGCAGACGGCCAUUAGAGCAAACCCACAGUAGACACCACCAGUAGACAGGUGGGGACAUCUGCUUUCUUCUCUUCGGUAUUGAAUUUCCUUCUCUGCUUUGUGCUUAAAAAGGAAAGGAGCCAGACACAGGAGCUCACAGAGCUGGCCGCUGGUGACUCAAUUUAACAGAGAAAGCAGAACUGCUAUGUGCACUCUGAAGGAAGCUUAUUGUGGCAUAAAUUUAAUGCGUCCUUGGGAUGCUACAGAGGGCGUACCGAUGAGCAGGCAAAAUCUGAUAUUGACCCCCCUUACUCAUUGACUCGACUGUCACUCAACUACGUGAUCCUACUUGCUACCUGACAGCACUGCAAUUGCUGGCCACUGAUCAUCUGAAGAGGAGACGAUCUUUUAGGGUCUGCUUGUGGUCCUCUAGUGAGGUCACAGACAGGGCAGUAGGACCUUGGAAGUGAGUGUGGAAGUGAGUGUGACGCCCCUGGACUUAAGGAGGGGGAUAGCAUCUGUAGCAAGUGAGACUAAGGCAAGAGUAAGAGUUGGGAUGCAGCUGUUGCUAGUGCUUGUCCAUGGUGCCCAAAGCCCGACCGACUCCCAGCACUGUGCAUAUGCCUGCAAGCCCAGUGUUUGGGCGUAGAGAUGGGAGGAUUUCAAACUCAAGGUCAUCUUUGACUUCAUAAGGGGUUCAAGGCCAUCUUGGAUUACAUGAGACGUAUGGGGGUAGGUAAGACAAGAGUAGGGCGUCCAGCCCUUCUGUUGCUCUCCAAGUCAUUCAGGGACCAUAGCCAGGGAAACCUCAGUUUUCACUUUGGUAGAAGUUAAAUUACCUUCAGGUUUCUAAAGCAUUCCCUAGGAUUCCUCCAAGAAAACCACUGAAGUAUAACUCUGGAAUUUAUGGGGAGCAUAGGAGGGGGUAGGAAAUUUCUCUCUUAAAAUGCAGCUGUACUCCCACAGAAAAGAGUUUAUUUAAUUUAAAAAAGGAAUUUGGUUCUAUUAUGCAAAUGACUUAGGACUGGGGUGUGUGUGUGUGUGUGUGUGUGUGUGUUUGUGUGUGUGUAGUGUGUGUGGUGGAGUAGUAGUAGUAGUAGUAGUACUAGUAGUAGUAGUAGUAGUACUAGUAGUAGUAGUAGUAGUAGUAGUAGUAGUAGUAGUAGUAGUAUGAGAAAGAGGUAUGAGUCUCAGGGUCAAGCCCAGUAUUAGAAAAGGGCUAUUCCCUCCACCCUUUCAUUCCAUCGCCCCACACCUCCUCCAGCCCUAGACCCCCAACCUCUCCCAGCAAUGGACAAAGCAAUACCUUGUUAAUGGUGUUGUUCUUCUGUCAGUCAGGGGCAGAGCAGAUGGCAUCCUAGUUUGGUGCCUGGCUUGGUGGCCACAGCUGUGUUAUGCCUGAGACUCAUAAAAAAAAAAUCAGAUAAAUCCAGGUGGCACAGCACAGUACAGGAGGAGGAAGACAGAGAACGGCAGACCACCAUGUCACCCACAGAUCCGCCCUCCAGCACACGGCAGCAGGCGGGCCAUUGACACCCGCUUGCCACCACACAGCAUGGAUGGAGGAUGUCACCCAGGGGACUGUCAGCUGCAUGACCAGCCUGCAUCUGGGGCCACCACAGUGUGUGAUAGUCAGAUGGGAGAGAAAGGGAGGUGAAGCAGCUUGAACAUUAUGGAGAGAGACUCACGGCUAUGGUCUCCAUGUCUAUGGCCCAUAUUAUGAUUAUACAACAUGGGGCUGUCCCUGGUUGUUGAAGCUGUAUGGGACCAUGUGGACAUCCAAGGGCCCCUCACUGUAUACAGUUCUCUGGAGAGCUGUCCUAUCUCUCACCAGCUCGCUUAGGAGAGCAGCAGCACUUAGGAGAGAAGCCCUGCACCUUGCUAUCUGCUACCCCUUUCCCCACUCAUGCCCCUUGCUAUCUGAUAGUCGGGAAAAUUGACCCUGGGGUCAUGAGAGCUGACCCUACCCCUCCCUGCGCUGGCUGCAGCACUUGGGAGAACAGGCCCUGCACCUUACCUGGAGCUGGCCCUGAUGGCAAAGGCAAAGCCCUGAGGGUGGGAGAGUGGGAGAGCUGGCCCAGCCUCCUGCCAGUGGUGGUAUUGGGUAGCUUAGACAGAGCAGUGCUGGAGAGCUUGCCCUGGUGGUGUGGAUAAGGGAGAGCCAACUGACUUACCAGCACAGCUACCACCCAGACCCAGAUCCAGGGCUCUGAAUUGGCUCACCCCCAAAUCUAUGUUAUCUGUGAAUGGCUGGGAUGUGUGAAAGGGGCUGUGUUGCUCUUCCAAAGCUGCAGGAUCUCCAUGACACAGGACAGCAACAGGGUAACUCCAUGGGAGGAGUCCCAACGAGGAUCCAAUACUGAUGGUGUCUCAGAAGCCAGAGAUGUUGAACCAGGCCAAUGACUCAUUGUAAUGAACAUUUGGAAGGGAAGAUGUGUGGACAGAGGGACAUACUGUGACACACUGACACACUACAGCUUCCACAACAAGAUAUUUUCUAUGUUUUGCUUGUUGUUGUUGUUGGUGGUGGUAGUUAUAGUAAUGGCAGUGGUGGUGGUGGUGGUGGUGGUGGUGUGUGUGUGUGUGUGUGUGUGUGUAGGAGGAGGUUGCAAGGGCAAAGGGUAGAUAUGAGGGGAUGGGGAAAUGAGAGGAACUGGGUGCAUGAUGUGAAAUUUACAAAGAACCAAUAAAAGUAAAUAAAAGAAAAGAUGAAGAAAGAAAGAAGUAAGCAAGCAAGCAAGCAAGAAAGAAAGAAAGAAAGAAAGAGGGAAAGAAAGAAAGAGAAGAGUUAUGCAUGUAGCUUAAAAUAAACAGGAUCCCAUGCUGCAAACCUGUUCCCUAUACUUGCCUGCCCUAUGGUAGCACACAGAGACUUUUGAUUUCACAAGCCAGGUAUGUAGCUGAGUGGCCAAGCGCUUGCUUAGCAUAUCUGACACCCUGAGUUUGAUUUCUCAGCAUGACAACAAAAAGAAUUUUAAUUUCUCUAUGGAGCUGGGUAAAAUGCCUUCAAAGUUUGAUCUCACUGGUGCCUUUUCUUCCUAUCUUGUUUUAAAGCAGAAAAAGAAAACGUUCUGAACCGGGCUGAGGAGCUUUGGCCCACGAAAAUUUGAGCUUGGGGUGGCACUUAGGAUGCUGGCCCCUAGUGGCAGAGUGGGUCCCUGCUCGUCAUAGCCGCUGUGGCUGGAUGGGAUGUCAGGCUUGCUAAGGAAGAGAUUGCCUUUGAGCCUCCCUUGGCAGCAGAAUCGUCCUAAUUUUGAUAAAGUACAUUUUCAAAAGCCUGGGAGAGAGAUGGAAAAGAAUGCGGGAGAUUGUCCCAUGGAGUGCCUGUUGACCCAUUAAAUACGGCAGACAGAACUAAUCUUGUUCUACCUGCACAACAAAGCUCUGCGUUUCCUUUUUCUGGCACAGCGGGGCCAGGCAAGAGCUACUGAAAUACCUUCCCGUUUCUUAGGGCUGCCUGUCUCUGCCAUCGCUCAUCUUGCCCUGCGUUUCUGCUUGGCCUCGCACUGAGCUGGAUACAAAAGUGGGUUCCUUCCUGCUUACUUGGAUGUGCCAGCUACUGGACUCCCGGCCUGGCGUCUAAUAGUUGCUGAGGAUUUUCCAGUGUUUCCUUUGCAGGAACUCGGUGCAUCUCAGACUGGGCCGUUUGCCAGAAAUUAGAAUGAAUGAUGCUCCUGGUAUUAUUUGGUACAGAAGGGGCAGCUUCGUGUCCCCCAAGAAUUCCUUCUAAAUGACCACCUAAAGGUACUGACCGUGUGCUGUGGAAUUUUGUUUGCAAGAAGAAAACUUCUUUCUUGGAGGCCCUCAAGGAGGGUGUUUUUAAAGCAAUAUUUCUCGGUCUACUAUUAUAUCCAAGGUAAUGGGCUUGGGCAAGUGUUUUGUAAGGGGUCUUGUGGCAAACUAGAACCCUUGGUGUUGUGCUUGAUUCCAAAAGUGGGAGCGGCAAAGCAAACAAAACCACCCUUGGGUGUCAGAUUUGGGAUGGGCAGGGAGAGGGCACAGGAGAGAAGUCAGGGAAGAAAGGAAAGAAAGGAAAGAAAGGAAAGAAAACUCAUGCACCGUAUCUAUUUCCCCUAGCUGCACCAGCACUGCCUGAGAGCUGGUUGAAGAUAAAAAUCAGCUAGCCCAGCAGCCCCAUGAGAUAAGAAGAGAAGGUAAAGCCAGAGGCAGAUGGCUUUAGGCAAGCCUGGAUACAGACCCAGGCUGGGAACCUCAGGGCUGUAAGUGGGUCCGCAGAGGCUCUCAUUAGUGUUUAAUGAAGGGAUCAGUCAAUUAGUCUGCUCUGCCUCAGAGUAUACUACAGUGAGGGUGUCCUUAGAUGUCUGCAAAUUAGAAUCAUAGGGAGAGCUUCUAGAAAUCUCCAUGCCCUGACGAUGCCCCAGAUCACUCACCAGAGGCACACUGGGGACAUAGUGAAGUAUACUUGUUAUCUUGAUGAACAGCCAGGACCAAGCUUGGCCCUCUGCUUUGACCUGAUUGGAGAACUUUACUUAUAAAGUAAAGCAUUUUAAACAUAAGUACAUAAAAAAAACAAGGGAUUUAGAUAAAAUGGAGCAUUGAUGGUUCUCCUAUAAUAAAAGCCUAGAGACAGAGCUAGGGGCAUGAGGCAGAGAAGGCAAACAAGCGAUAGGGCAAACAAGACCACACUCUUACUUUUCUCCUUUGUCUCCAGUUGACCUGGCUCAUUCUAGUUCAUUCUGGCUGCUGUAACAACACAACAUGAACUAGGUGGCUUUAUUGAUCAUAGACAUUUAUUUUUUUUCACAGGCUUGCUGACUGGUCUAAGAUCAGGCAAGGCACCAGAGAGUUCGGAGUCUGGAGAGGGGUCUGGAGAGGGCCCACUUUUGGUUCAUAGAGAGGACCUUUUCAGUGUAGUUGUCUACCGUGUCAGAGAUAGGGUCUCUCCAGGGUUUCUUUUGUGAGGAAGGUAAUCCCAUGCUUUAAGGCCCUACCUUUUGGACACAAUGAUCUUCCCAAGUCUACUUCCUAACAAAACACCUUAAGACUUAGGAUCUUAACGUCAACCAUGCUGGAUUAGGGCCCACCCUAAUGACCCCAGAGGCCACUGAGGGACUUUGGGGGACACAAGCCUUCUUUGUAUGGUGCUAGACUCUGACUCCCUAGGACAUGCCUCUCUAGACCCAGUAUCUCUUCCUGGUUUCCCGUUGCCCUGUCUUGUUUUGCCCAGAGGUAUGUCACAUGGUAAAGAAGCCUCACGUGGCUAGGUGCCCUCUUUUCCAUGCCUUUCCCUUCCUGCUGUCUAAGUAAACUCUGUACCCUCCAAAGGUUCUCUAGGUCAACCAUGGUCAGGGCUAAGCCUUCAGUUCCUCUAGAAGUGAGCCCAUUUCCCUGACCAACAGUCAAGGCCGAGUCUUGAACCCUUCAGAAUUCUGUUCCUCCUUUCUCUGGGACACCGCCCUGUAAAAUUGGUUGUUGUUGCUUGAGAAUGUGUUGACUUUUGCUGCCUAAGGCUGGCUUUGAGAGUGUCCCCAGGUAGGGUGCCUGCCUUUGUUUUCCUGGCUAGUCCAUUACCUUCUUCGACGUUCUGCUCAAAAUGCACCUCUUUCAGAAAGAUGGGAGACCAAAGAGGGGCAGGAAAUUGGGUUACUAAGCAAAGCUUCCCUUCCCUGAAAGCAGCAGUGACGGUGAUGCCCCCAGCCCUGCCACCAUUCCGUGGACAUUUUUCAUGCCGUGGGACUUUCUUGGUGCUUCAGCCUCCGCCUCGGACCCUGCAGCCGUCGCCAUGUUGAUGCCCAAGAAGAACCGGAUCGCCAUCUAUGAACUCCUUUUUAAGGAAGGGGUGAUGGUUGCCAAAAAAGACGUCCACAUGCCCAAACACCCCGAGCUGGCAGACAAGAACGUGCCCAACCUUCACGUCACGAAGGCCACGCAGUCUCUCGAGUCUCGAGGCUAAGUGAAGGAGCAGUUUGCUUGGAGACAUUUCUACUGGUACCUCACGAAUGAGGGCAUCCAGUACCUCCGAGAUUACCUGCACCUACCUCCGGAGAUCGUGCCCGCCACCUUGCGCCGCAGCCAUCCAGAGACGGGCAGGCCUCGGCCCAAAGGUCCAGAGGGUGAGCGGCCUGCGAGAUUCACAAGAGGGGAGGCAGACAGAGACACCUACAGAAGGAGCGCUGUGCCCCUGGAGCUGACAAGAAAGCUGAGGCUGGCGGUGGCUCAGCAACGGAAUUCCAGUUUAGAGGGGGUUUCGGUCCGUGGACGUGGUCAGCCACCUCAGUGAGGUUGGAGAUUAUGUUGUGUUGAAUAAACUUUAAAGGAAAAAAAAAGAUUUGACUCUAAUGAUCCCAUGUGCAGAAUGAAGGAGAGCUGGGGGCUUUCAUUCUUUCCGAGGGACCUGGGAAAGGAGGCUGCUUCACCCCACCAGAGAGCUCCAGCAUAUAAGAGACAGGGAUAUUCAUGCAAAGAGUCAGCGUCUACAAAAGGGUCCUCCACUUGAGGUGGCUCCUGGGAUUAGGGUACAUUUUGGUAAACCAGGAUCAUGGAAACCUUGGAGGAAAGAGGCAAUUAAAAAAUAAAUAAAAUCAAUAGGCUGUCUCAUGUUGAUAAAGGAAUUUUACCUAAGGCACUGUUGGACAGGGAGGGGGCUUGGGUUUUAAAUAGAGUGACCAGAGAAGUGGUGGCCUGUGACCAAAACCUGAGAAGACAUGUCCAGACCAAAAGGACAGAAGAUGCAGAGGACCCAAGACAGAAGUGUUCAGAGAACAAGACCAGUGUCACAGGAGACAAUGAAAGAAACCCUGUGGCCCGCACAGUGAGUUUGCCUUCUGUCUGAGGGAGGACAAGUACAUCUUGUCACUGGUUUCCUCCGGAUCAGCUACAGGAUACUGGUACAAUUGUAUUGGCAGUUAGGGUCUGAGAACAGUUUCAUUUCGUUUUGUUUUUCCACCAGGAUGCUGAAG